AACGUAGGACACAAGCGUUAUCCGGAUUCACUGGGUUUAAAGGGUGCGUAGGCGGGUUUGUAAGUCAGUGGUGAAAUCUCUAGGCUUAACCUGGAAACUGCCAUUGAUACUACAGGUCUUGAAUACCUUGGAGAUGAGCGGAAUAUGUCAUGUAGCGGUGAAAUGCUUAGAUAUGACGUAGAACACCGAUUGCGAAGGCACCUCACUACACGGUCAUUGACGCUGAGGCACGAAAGCGUGGGGAUCAAACAGG
rnacentral:rRNA from 1 species